AUUCACUUCUUCCAGAGUGCACUUUUAUGUACAAUUUAAUGCACUUCCCACCACCAGUGAUGCUCCUUUUCUAAAUUCACCCAAUCAUAUAUUGCCCAGUGAUACUGAUUUUUAUUACAGUUUUACUAUUGAACUCCUAGAUGCUGAUUUCUAUCUUCAGGUGCUUCUGUCUUGUGUAAUGGAUAUAUUUCAUGUACUUCCUCAGAUUUCCUUUGCCUUGUUUGUUUUCUGUACCCAUAAUCAUUUGCUCUGCUUGUGGCUCACCAGUUGCAUUUCUGGAAUCUCUGGCUUCUCCUGCCACUUCUGAACAAUGCAGGAGCUGACUUCUCAGUGGCUGCUAGGGCCUGGGUAAUGCAUGCUGGGAGUAUGGGGGGGUCACUUCCCAUGGAGUAACUUUUGCCAGCUGAAACCAAUGGACUGAGUAAGCACAAUACUUAAAUUCCCUUUUCUCCUUCCUUCCGAGGAUGCGAGGAUGGUUUCUCCAGUGUGUCUGGAGACAGGCAAGACUGAGUGAGUGUACCUGCUGACAAAGCUGCUGUGUCUCUUCUGGCUCAUUUUCAAGGCGGGGCCAGCAAGCCCGCACUCCUCCAGAAUGGAAUCCCAGACAACUCUAAUGCGCUCGUUCUUAACUUUUCGUCUGAGGACAGAGGCUAAGGUUGGAAGACCUCUCACCAGGUCUGGCAGCUUCUCAAGCACACGAGGAGAACACUCACUAAGCUCCGUAGGGUUGGACCCUACAGAGAUGAGCAACAUGUCUCCUACAGCAGACCAAAGAGAUAAAAAGGAAAUAGGGAAGGUGAAGAAAAAAAUGGAAACUCCAUUCCCACUAGGAAGAGAAGCACUUCUGGUAGACAACCCUCAUGGGAACCACAAUAGCUCAGUAGAUGAAUGGAAAAGGAAGCACUUUGACUGUGCAUAUUAGAGGCCUACAAAAAACCAGAGCCAAACUUCUUAAUUACUCUAAACUAUCCAUGAUAGACCAAAAACCAGACGAGAAUCCCACAGCCUUUAUGGAAAGGCUGAGAGAGACACUAACAAAACACACCUCUUUAUCCCCUGAUUUAGCUCAGGGACAGCUCAUCCCAAAGGACAAGUUUAUCACACAGGCAUCUGCAGAUAUUUGAAGGAAACUACAGAAGCAAUCUAUAGGACCAAACAGCACCCGCGAAAACCUCCUGAGAAUAGCCACUUUGGUCUUUGAUAAUAGGGAUCAGGAGGAGACCCAAGAAAAAGAGAGGAAGCACAAGACAAGGACAGAGGCCCUAGUGGCAGCAUUGCAAGCUUGCAAAGUCCAGGAUCCCUAAGGUGCAUCCACUAGCUGUUAUUGAUGUGGCAAGUUGGGGCAUUUUAAGAAGGAAUGCCCAAACAACAAGAAGCCAGCUCAACCCUGUCGUCUGUGAUGGAAACCACUGGAGAUCGAACUGCUCCCAGAGAUGGAGGUCACUGCAUUCAGAACCAGUCUCACUGAUGGUCCAGCAAGACUGAUGAGUCCCACGGCUCAACACCCGGCUCCAAUAGCUCAAACUGCCAUUACAGCACAGGAGCUCCAGGUGAUUCUGGAAAUUGAAGGAAGGAAGGUAGAUCUCCUUCUGGAUACUGGAGCCAGACUCUCUCUUCGCCUCUCUAAUGUAGGCCUCCCCUCUUCCCACAGCACGACUGUAAGGAGCGUCUCAGGAAAGACUAA